ACAUUGAAGCCAGGUAGAUGAGCCCAUUCCACUAGGUCUCUUGGUUCCACCCUUGUGAAGUGAAAUCUGCCACGUGUGGAUCAUUUGAGCUUUGCUAUAUAGGAAGCAUGAGGAGCUGGGAAGGGAAUUGGCUCUCCAGGGAAGCUUCAGGCUCAGCUCUGUAUUCAAGAAAUCAGGAGGAAGGGGAAGGCUACCAAGAUGGCUCUGUGGAACAGUGGCAGUACUGUCUCUAUGGCUAUCAUCUCUGUUGCAUGAACCGGACCAUCAUCUGUUUGUACAACAGUAACUGGAAUGGAAAAGCUGUGGACAACUCCUGUGAUGAUAACAUCAGGGGCUUGUGCCUUGUUCCUGUCUCACUUGACGCCAGUGAGUUCCUAUAUAGAUUUCAGGACAAACUGCAGUGGGCCACUGAGCAGACUUCAAAAUUGUGAACCAAAGACAUCAAAACAUGUAAUGAAACCACUGAGAUGCAUGGAU
rnacentral:lncRNA from 1 species